GACCAGUUAUUUAUUUCUUUAGGUUUUAUUUGAUUCGAUAAUACACUUCAGUUAGUUAACGUUAUCUAAAGGGGAUCUGUCCACGCUUUUUCUCUCUCCUUCAGAGAGAUGAGAAUCAAGAGCACAUGAUGGCAUCCUCUGCGUGAUGUGGCUGGCUUUCGGUUCCGGAGUUUUACGGUCUUCUCGACGAAGCUUCCGGUUUUUGGUUCCGGUGAACACCUUUCCCUUCGGUGAAGCACCGGCUCUUGGUUCCAUCGACGCAUUUGUCGGUUUUCAAUCCCGGUGACGUUGACUGGUUUUUUCAAGGUUUUCUCGGAAUCCUCUGAUCUCCGCUUCAUGCCUCUAGAUUCAUUUAAGUUUCAUAAUCGAAGCUUGUAAAUGGAUCUCUUUACAAAGCGAAGAUCCUUUCGUGGUGGUUUGAUUCGUCUGGGUAAAUCUCUACAACGACUUGUUCUCGGCUUCGGCGGAUUGAGCUCUCUGGUUGGAGUUCCGGUGACUAUAACCGGUGUGGUUUGGUUUAAUAUUGUCUGAGAUCGUCUCUACGGUUCUUCUUUCCGGGCGUCAUGUUUCCGGUGUGUUCCGGUGGAUCGACGGGAAGCUGCUCCGGCGAUGAUCUCCUCGCAGUGAAGACGACGGUUGAUCGGUGUGACGCGUGUCUCUUUUUUCGCUGAGGCUUGGACACGUGUUUCUUUCUCUCACGCUAAAUGUAACGCGUGGUUUAGUUGGCUAGGUUUGCCUUCGGCUUUGUUUGUCGUUUGGGACUUUGGGGCUCGUCUUGUUUUUCUUUAGUUUCUCUUUUUUGGGCUUUUUUAUUUUUUGGGCUUCGUUCAAUAAAAUUCAGAUGACAAGAAAAAAGAAGUUAAAAUUAUCUUCAUACACGUUUAUGGAUGGUACAAAUCUGAUAUUCCUUACCAGUCAAUUAGUAUAGACUCCAAGAACUUGCUUUUGUCCUUUUUGUUCUAGAAAGUUUAAGAAAUUUGAGUUCAUAAUCUACCAUUAUAUCUAUAUAUAUAAAGUUGUCUUUUUC
rnacentral:lncRNA from 1 species